GGCGGCCGAGGUUUAGACCCCUUCAAAAACACAAAUUAUGCUUUCUCUGCUUGGUUUUGUGUAUGAAGAAUGCUGAAUGGGAUGAGGGGAUGGGGAGAUGGAAGGGCAGUCUCGGAGUGGGUGUGGUUGGUGGAUGAAAGAAAGAAAAGAAAGAAAAAAAUUCUGCUCGGCUGUGGAAAGGUUGUUGUUGUUGUUGUUGUAGGCCGUUGGCCGUUCAUAGAGGUAAUGGGAAUUUUGGUUUUUUUUUUUUUUUUUUUUUUUUUUUUUUUUCCUUUGGGAUUCUCUUUUUCUUUUCUUUUCGUUGCGCUAUGUACUGUACUGCCUACUGCCUACUGCCUUUUUUUUCCCCUUGAUAGAGAGAGAGAGAGAGAUAGGCGAAAGACGGGGGAAGAAUAAUUCA
rnacentral:sRNA from 1 species